ensembl:lncRNA
CUGACUUUUAGAAAUCUUUAUACACAUCAUUUAGUGUCAUUUUCAAAUACCUUGAAGGGAUCAUAAAACUUUGCUCAUCUCUGAUCAUUGUAGCACUUAGAAGAGGAAAGGUAUGAACAGCCAUAACCCUGGCACAUUUUUAACUACACUCAGGACCAAAGGGGAUUAUAAGAUGGAAGCUUUGAUAACAAAAACAUAAAGAUGUCAUUGUCAACUAUCUCAAAAUAUACAUGCUUGUUGUAAAUGUCACAUAAGCCUACAGCUAAGGGAUGGAUCACAGUUUCCUGCAUUUUCAAAGUAUUUGUGUUGAUGAAUGCUUUAACUCCUUCAUGACCAAGUUAUUCUUUGUCCCACAACUUGCUUUCACAUUGUGAAAUUUCCGCUCUGCUCUGUACAGAGAAAAGCAAAUGCUUAGGAAGCAUUUAGGGGGUGAAAGGUGUGUAAUGUCAGUGAUCAACUUGCUAGCAAUAGGAUGAGAUCUUUCCUCUGCGUUGAAACAAUGGAAGUAGCAAUAUGUGUCAAACUAAACUGAGUACCAGAGAACUAAGGACUAACUUGUGCCCCAGUAUGGGUCAGCAAAGUAUUUACGCGUAUGAUUAAAACUAAAUGAUGGUGAACAUCUUGUUUCAGCUUGGCACACGCUACAGCACUUUGCUGAAUAAAAGGCACGUGGUACUGUUAAGAGCAUCUACACAGGGCUGAUUUUGAUCUGUUAGGCCCUGACAGGGUGACCACUCGUGUUUGCCACCAGAGUGGGAUUUGUUGCUGUCUUUGAUAACAGGGGCAGGCCCUUUCGGUGAGCUGAAGGUCUCAGAGGUGUAAAUGUGUGGGGAUUGCCAUCCCUGCUACAUGCAGUCUCUCCCCAUGUGACACUGAGGACAUGCUGCUUUUUGUUCCACAUGACUAGGAAUUCCUUGGCAGUAUGAUCUUGCCAUUGUGUGGAUGUCUUUCCCUCUUCCUGAGGCAGCGCUUGCCACCAUCAAGGUGCUUGGUGAUAUGCAGGUACCAGCCUUGCUGAGGGUACUGCUUGAGUCCGUGUUUAAUUUCAGCCACUUUGAGAGAGACAAAUAUUGCAGCAGGAGAACUGGAACAAGUGGUGUGGAACUGCUCAGGUGCAGGAACUACAGAUGAGGAGCAUGACUGCAGUAUUUUCUGACAUAAAAAUUAAUUACCUAGUUCUUUAGUAGAAUUGUCAGAAUGAGAUCUUAGAUCCUGCAAGGAGCAAAGUUUUCAUAUGCGGUAUAUUUGCAUCACAAAAAUAUGUUUCUAUGAAUAUGCCUUGUAAAACUCAUACCCAUCAUUCUUGAAUCUGAAUCCUGUUGCCUACAGAUAUUUAAAUCACUGUUUCUACUAAUAGGCUUCUAGCACAGGGUGUUAUUCUUUUUUUAGAAAGCAAUAGCAAAUAGGAAGGAAGAACUCUCAAUUUCAACCCGACUUCUGCUUCUGUGGCAUUUCUUGCUCUGCCUUUAAUCCACUGUAGUAAGUUUCUUUUUUUUCUAAGAUCUGUGCUGAUGGGAAAGUCUCUUUCCUGCCACAGCAUUACCAAGACUGUUAGAAUAUUUCAUAAAUCAUGAAGUUAAGUAGUUACACAGGAUUUACGCUGUCAAGAAUUAGGCAUGACACAGACAUGAUAUAAAUGAAAGACUUGACAGGGCACUUCCAAGCCUCCUACAUACUCUGUCAGAUUUAGGAGCACGUCUCUUCACAGUGGGCUUCCAAAAAAGAGACCAGAGAGCAGUGCCAGUAGACAGAGCAGCACAGAAAAGAUGAUUCUGUGGUGAGGAAAUAAGGAUCCUAGAAAGGCAUCAUAAAAAUGAGUGCAACCGGUGGGGUUCUCUUAUGAUAGUGAAGAAGACUAAUUAGGUGACUGCUAUCAUUUCUUCAUUUACCUUUCUUUCCUCUCUUAUGCCAAGUUUCUCAUUGCUCCAUGACUUCUCCUUUUGCCUUAAUGAUGCAUAACACAAGUAUUACUUUGUGUGGUGCCCCAGAAGAUAUAGAAAAUGUUAAUUCACUGUUGCUUUCCUUGAAUUAGCCACUGUUUAUUUGAAAUUCCUUAAUGUAAAACCUUUCCGGGAAUGCUUCACACUUUGCAGGAAUUUCCCAGCCCAGAGCUUCCUAAGAAUUCCUAGCUGUAAGUCUAUUCUUGCAUUUCACUGAUAGAGGAUCUUUGUGGGGAGCCUUGAAGAGCUUUCUGGAUAUUUCCCAAUGGUUUUCCAAGAACUGCUGGAUCGAGUAUCCUGUACUGUUUACCAAGAACCACUGCUAUGAUAUUUAAAACCCCAGGAAGACUCUAGAACUUUCUUGAUCCUUGGUAUUUAGAUUCCUUGGUAUGAUUACCUAUAACCUGUCCCACGUCACCUAUGUUUAUCUCACCUCCUAAAAAUGGAAUAUGAUGUAAUGACUGGUUUUUGAAAAAAAAAGUCCCAUAAAGUACAAGGAUGAGUCUUUUACUGGUUUAAGGGAGACAUUAUUAAAAGAGAGAAAUGGGCUUUUUUCUUUAGUUGACAAGUUACUAAAACAAAGGAGAGCAAAAGCAGAGAAUACAGCCAGAAAGGAGAAUCAAAACAGUUCAAAACUAUGAGUUGUCACAGGAGUUGAGUUAAUAACUUCUCCACUCACCAUACAGUGAGUGUGGAGUUGCUGUUGAUAAAUCAACUACUGAGAACAGGUCUGUAGUCAGAGCAGAACCACAAACACAUCUGAAAGGAUGAAAACAGCAGAAGUUCAAAACACAUAGGCCUUCAUUCCCUUGUCACUUGGUAUGUGACUUGAAUUUAGCUCUUACUCUUCACCCCUAAUGUUCUCAUAUUUUAUUGAAGAGGCAAUGCUCCACAAAGACUGAGUGUAGUAUCAAGCAAUAGAAAUAACACACAAAAGCACAGGAGAGGACUGAGAUAUAUAGACAGAAUUGAAGAUAAAACACAGCCAUGCUGAAGUCACUGUAUUAAAAAAAUAAGUGGGCCUGAUUUUCUUCUGCAUCAGAGCUUACUUAUGCCACUUUGUUAGAAUAAUGGGGCCAUGAAAUGUACAUAACUGUAAUUACUCCUCCAAAAGUCCCUUAAGUUGACAGACUGGUAUAAAUGGAACAUUGUAUAAGUGAGAAUUGAGUUCAGUGGGGAGUAGAUUACAUGUUCCUCUGAAUUCCAAAUAUAUUCUAAAAUUUUAAGUAGAAAAAUGGUAGGGAUAUCUCCCUCUAUACAAGAAUCUGUGUUUGUGUCGACGUUGUGUUUAUAGGAGAAUUUCACUGGGCUUCACUGUGCAACUUGGCUUAUCAUACAGGUAUGCUCUCCUAUGCUAAGGCAGCAAAAAGCUUUGCAAAAACAUGCUAUUAGCAUCUUAGAGCAACUUUGUUCAGCUGUGACUGCAAAAAAAAAAAAGACUGUUAGAUAUUACAUGAGAGGAAUGCCUCAAGUCUCUGGAGAAAACUGAACAAAAAAAAAAGGGGAAGCAGUCCUAAAAGUGUUAACCCUUCUUUUCUUGCAAAGGCUCUUUGGCUACCAUUCCAGCUGAUUCAUCUGACCGUCCUACUGAGACCAAAGAGUGCCUUAAUGGGGAGAUCUCCCUUUCUACCAUUCCUUUCGAGGCUGAAAAAUGAGCCAUCAGUGGCAGCACUUUUUAGGAUAUCAGAAGUAUCAAAUAGUGUGUAGAGUAUUCUCUAAUUACAUAAUAAAUAGAUAACCAGCCUAUGAAGAUGCUUUUGA